CUGAUGAGGCCUUGGUCAUAUGGCUACGUGACAGGAAGUUUGACGAGGACAUCAUUGAUACGAUAACACGGGAGCAGUUUGUGUUGAAUGAUCUCCUGGAGAUAGUGCGCUAUGAAGACUUACAAAGACUAGGACUCAGGGGUGGUGUUUUGUGCCGAUUGUGGCGGGUGAUACAAAGUCACAGGAAAGACCAUGGCCUGGAAAAAAGGUCAUCAGACAGGUAACAGGUCAAAGGUCACCAGACCAGGAGGUCACCGAUGAAGACACAAAUCCUGCCCAACAGACAGGUGUUGUUUCGUCAGUCCUUUCACUCAAGUGUGUCUCCCACAAUUCCAUUGUACAGGAUGUGACAUACAAUGGUCAGACAUUGUAACUCAAAGGAGGAUAUGUGAUAGCAGGCUUCUGGUCAUGUUGAGACAUCUCACAGAGAGAUAUGUGUCACAUGACAGUCACAUGACCCAUUAUCUGCCUUGUCACAGUUUACUGCCCAUGGGCUUGUGUUAUACGACUGUGUUUACAGAUAUAUAUGGAAGUUUAGAGCAUUUCAUAUUCCACCUUGUAUCCCCAUUGUUGUUUGAAACUUUUCAUUCACUACUUUCACAUUAUCCCCAAGAUGUUUGUUGUCUGUGAUGUUACUGUGAUGUUUAAGUGAUUGAGAAAGCAUUUUGAUUCUGUGAUCGGGAUGAUGUGAAUAAAUGGAUCUUGUUUAACGUGAGUGACAUAUC